GGAGGGGGGAGGGGAGGGGGAGGGGUGGGGGGAACUGGGCUCCCGGCCCCCGGAGGCUCUGCAGCUUUAAGAAGGGGAGCUGGCUGCCAGCCACGGAGGCCCCGGGAGGCCGCCUGCCAUCUUGCACGGGCCACGUGAGCACAGGCUGCAGGCGGCGACAGUCAGCGCUGGGCCCGGCCUGGGCUUGCAGACCCGAGCCCCGCAGGCCGGCCCCAGCGGCGGUGGCGCCGGCAAGCCGAAGAAAGGGGACCUUUAUGCCUUUUGGGGGAAGCACACAUUCUGCGAGGCCGUGGAAACAAAGAGAGGAACUGUUUGUAGCCCUAGUCCAGACGUCCCAAACAAACAUUCCGUGAGGUGGAUAGUUUGGGCCCCCUUCCUGUGCUCUCUUGGAGAAAACCGACAGUAGAGAAACUAAAUGCCUUGGUCCUGCAGCAGUUGUGAAGAAAAGUUAAUAAAAGAGGCCCUGAACAAGCCCUGGGAGGAGGAGCCACUUCAGAGGAGCUCCCUCUGGUUGGAAAUUUUACACCUGCAGCAAGCAAGUACAGACUUCCUGGAGCCUCAGGCCACAUCACCCCAAGAUGAUGCUGAUGCUGAUAGGUGAGCUCCUUUUCACGGAGCUGGAACAGGAACCCUGAGUUGGAGAAUAUUUGGACCAGCCUCUGCUGCUGCCCUGAAGCGUGUUGAACACUGACUGGUCCAGCCAGGCAAACAAAGGGUUAAGUGCUGCCAUGUGCUCCCAUCAUUCCACCUGGCUGUUUGAGAACAUCUGGAGCAUGCAUUCCUAGAAUUGGAUUACUUGGGUAAAGCAGAGAAAUGACUUUCUAAUGGUGGAAUUUCAGUCAUCUGUGACAGGCAGAGCUGAGAUCCCGCUGACACGUUGAAACCUCUUUCUAGAGCAUGUUAACCUUAAAGAGAAAACUGCCAGCCAUUUUACCAGCAAAAAACGGGUUUAUUUGGAAAUAGCAGAGAAUUGCAAUCCCAGGACAUGCAAGCUGUGGCAAAACUACAGGCAAGGCCAGAGGCAAGUCCGGGGAGCAAAGGGGAGGUAGGUAGCUCCUUUCCAGAGGGAAGGGGGAAGAUGGGAGAGCUGUUAUAAUCCAGAAGUCCAUUGGAGUAAACUCGGAGUUCGAAGUGUAGUGCCUCCUGAUUGGCUGAGCUGUGAAUGUCAUUGGCGGGGCUGUUGCCAGGAGAGGAGGAGACCUUUCCUCCUCCUGCUGGGGCAGUAAACUAGUAGCUAAAGUAGUAUUGGACUUGGUAAGGUGUAGGUCUUCCUGUUGGGGCUGUGAGAGCUCCCCCUGCUGGCCUCCCUCCUCCGUUUUAAACUCAACCGUAACCUGAACUAAACUGGUUUCCUUUCAUUAGUUCUCACAAGAAGCCAACAUACAGGAUUCCUUUCUGAAUGCAAUUUCCUGGAGCUUUGACACCAUCUCUGUAUUUAAAAAUCUGCAGUAUUUUUUUUUCAUCCACCAAAAAUCUCUGUAAGGCACUGUACCUGGAGUAGCGGGGUGGGGUGGUGGGGCAGGGAAUAUAAAGAAGAAAACAUAAAAUCUGUUCCUUCUAGGCACCUAAAUCUAAAUAACAGAAGUCACACAUAGACAGAAAAUCUGGCCUAUUCUUUCAUUUGUGAUUGCACGUGGCAUGCAGUCGUUUGUUCAUCCGAGCAUCAGUAUUUUUGGUGUGUGCUAUGUGCUUUGGCUGUCGUAACACCGCGGGAGGCCCAAGAUGUGAACCUGCUCUCUGGGUACUUGGGGUCUCCCCGGGAAAGAGGAAGGGGGUUCAGAGUCCAGUAAAACAUCAGGCCGAAGUCGGUGGCUCAAAGAAUGCUCUGGGGGCAAGGAGACCCGGCAACCAGUCGGCGUGAGCCUACUGGGUGCUUCAUAGAGGCGGAGGAUUGGAACCUGUACUGAGGAAUGGAAAGGUCUUCAGGAGGGAGGGAGGGAGGACAUCCUGGGCCAGGGGAAGGUCAUGACAAAGGUCUUCCAGUUCUGCUUGGUCAACCCAACUCCACGGGGGGACCUGCCAAUGGCCUCAGAUGAUGAAAGGGGUUUUCCCUCAGGGGGAAAAGCACCCCCAGAUAACACUGCAUUUUAAUCUGGUUUUUGAUUCAGACCACGUCUCCCCGUUUUGUUCCUCUCUGGGUGCACCGUCUCCCCAGUCUCUUCCAGGAGUGACACUCAGGCUCUGAAAGGUCCUUUGAGAGAAAACAGCCAUCAAAGUUGUCACUGACACAAGUCCCAGCAAAAUUUCAUGAUACGAAAGACUUCCAGUUACCGGAAUCGCCAAAGAGAAAAACCAGUAGCAUGGUUUAAGGUUCUGGAACAGGACAGUUUUCACUGUUUAUUGACAUAUCUGGCCUCUGUGGCUAUUUCUGGACCAACAGAAUUCUCUAUUAUUGCAUAACAAAGCACCCCAGACUCACCGGCUUAAGCGAUAUUCUGCGAUGACGCUGGCCUUAACGUGGGGGGGGGGGGGGGUUUGGUUUCUGCUUCACGUGGUACCAUGUCUGCUGGGGCUGGACCAUCCAUGAUGGCUUCUUCCUCACAUGUCUGAAGUGUCUACUGGGAGGCCUAGAGCACUUGGGGCCGGCCUAAUGCUUCUCUCUUGCUAGGAAGCCUCACCAGCAGUGGUAGCCAAACUUCUUUACAGGGUAGCUCAAGAUUCCUGGAGGAGGAGCUGUAAUGCCCAAGCACAUAUCAAACACCCGCUUGCGUCAUACUUCCUACUGUCCCGUUGGCAAAGCAAGGCACGUGGCUGAGGACAGAGUCAACGGGGAAGGAGCCACUCAGGGCUGUGAGCCCUAGGGAGCAUGCUUUGUAGAGAGCCACCAGGGUCAUAGUCUCCCCCAACCCUGUACACGAUGUACCAGCAAACACCAGCUGAACCCCACUGCCUGCUAGCACCUCGGGGCUCCAAGAGAGCAGAGCAUACCAGUCUGGAUGUAAGUCCCAGCUUGGCUCCUUCUGGCUGUAGCUGUGGCUAAGGUGUGUGACCUCUCUAAGCUCACCUGCACCCUGAAAGUAACAGUUCAGUCCUCCCUCAGGAGCUGUCGGGAGGGGUAACUGAGCUCGUGGGGGUAAGAUGUACCAUCCAAGUCAGCCGCUGUCAUGGAAUGUUCCGCAAGGAAAGAAGCUCAUUCUGCAGAACAGCUGAAGCACCUCAGCUCGGGACUACGUCUUCCGGGGCUUUAUAUCAGAUUAGGGACAUUAGAGGUGCUUUUUUUUUUCCCUCUCCUGUCAUUAAGUUAAAAAAAAAAAAAAAAAAGAAUGGACAACUUUGCUUUGAGGUAAAAGGACUCGGAAGGCUCACUUUGUUUCUCCUCACAAAGAAAAAGCUGUCAUGACCUUAGAUGGAGCCGGAGAAACCCAGGCAACACAGGAAUCAGUCAGACCCUCCCCUCACUCAUCCACCUCACCCCCCCCCCCCCCCCAAAAGCCACCACUGAGCCCUCUAUUGGUGUCUUGUUACUAAUGGGAACAACUGGGGACUUGGUACCAUCAGCAGUGGAGAUGAACAAAAUGAAAACACAGUGCCCUCUGAAGUGCGUUUAAUUAAAAAGGAAACAAAGAAGCUUUGUGCUCAUAAUACCUCUCUGAUUUGCGGUAUUAAAAAUCCAAUUUGCUCUCACAACAGGCUUUGGAGGUAAGAAAGGAGGCGGCUAGGGAAAGCCAGGCUUCUAGGCUGGCUGGAUUCCCUUCCACCUCACUCCAGACUAUUUUUGGAGACACGCUGGGCUUGCUCGAGACAUGCAGUCAGCUUCCUUGGGCUUUCAGCGGCUGGGAGUGUCCAGCUCGUCCCCAUUUUCAAAGUCUGUAGCAUUGGCAGGCACCGAGGGUUUGAGGCAAUGAGUUCCAGGAUGUUAGAGCAGAAGCUGGUGCUAGAACUUUCCGUACGGAUGGUUGCAUCUGCUUGUAUCCACUUCUUUCUACCAUCCCUGAGGAGGAAGGUGCCGGAAUGGGUGGUGGACCCAUCCUACGAAGGUCUGAUGCCUGCAGUCCAAUGGUGACCCUAGAGGGACUCAGGGGUCCCCUGUCUCAGGCUUAAAUCCUGGCUCUGCCAUGCCCCAGCCGUGUGAAGUCACUUCAUCUCUUUGAGCCUUGUUCUCCUUACGUAUAAAAUAUAAGUGAUUACAUCUACAAAUGACUUAGCACAGAGAGCUAAGGAAAAUAUCAGAGCUAAAGAGAAAAUACUAGCAGACAGUAUCGUCGUGGAAAAGAGAUGCCCACAUGUUGAUACGGCAAUCUAGCAUUUAGGAGAAUUGUCACCAAGGUUAUUUCUCCAAAAGCAGCAUAAUUAUGUUUUUCUUUGGGAUGGUGUGUUUAAAGGAAAUAAUCCCUUAAAAAAAAACAAAUCAUAAGUUUUCUUGUUUGUUUUUUCCUCCAGUUACAGAAUGAUACCUGUUUAUUAUGUAAAUUUUAGAAUUGAGAAAAGCACAGAAGAGAACAUUAAAUAUCACGCAGUCUUGAUACAGGAGAUAACUGUGAUUAACAUGCAGAUGUAUUUCCUUCUAGUUAUUUCUCUCAUGAACUGUAUAAAAAGGAGAAUAUGCCCCAAAGACGGUUUUGUUAUCUAGUUUUGUUCCUUUAACCGUACGUUACAAACCAUCAUUAAAUAUUCCUUCAUUACCAUAAUUGUAAAUGUCCAUGCAAGAGCCCAUAUUCAUGCCUCCAACCCCUACUUCCUGUACACCUGUGUGUUAGGUAAUUAACACACAGGAAUGAACUCCCAGAGUUCUCUUUGAGGCAGGUGUCAUUACUGCCAUCUCCUCCUUGGGAAUACCAAGGCUCAGGGGCACACUGCUGGUCAGAGGCCGAAUCGGGAUUCAAACACAGGUUUGUCUAGCUGUCAAAGGACUUCCCAUUCCAGAAGAGGGCUCCUGACCAGAGGAGGUGGUGUCAUGCAAGUGGGGGGUCUUCCCCCAUAGCUGAAGUAAGCCUACCUCCUUGGAGGGGGAGUCAAGGAUUCUGUGAGCCUGCUCAGUCAAGAAUCUGCCCAGACAAAAGACAUGAGCAGUGUCUUUCCCACAAAGGAUACCCAAAUGGCCAAUAAAACCUAUGAAAGUCACUCAACCGCAUUGGUCUUCAGGGCAAUGCAAAUUAAAACCGCAGUGUGAGGCCACUACCCACCUGCCAGGGUGGAUGGAAUGGAAAAGAUAGGCAACAGCAAGCACCGGAGAGGAUAAGGAACAAGCAAGAACUUGCAAUAUAAAUUGGUACAACCGCUUUGGAAACCGCUUAGCUGAACACGUGUAUACCCUGCAACCCUAGGGGUAUGCCAGACAGAAAUGCACCCCAACAUGCGUGUAUUAAAAUGCUCAUGGCAGCACCAUUUAUAAUAACCCCAAACUGGAAGCCAUUCAAAUGUCCAUCCACAACAGGAUUGGGUAAUUACAUUGUGGUAAUGAGUAUAUCACACAGCAAUGAGAAUGAACCAGCUGUUGUCAAACACAAAUGUAUGGAUGGAUCUCCUGGACAUACGAUUGAGUGACAGAAGCCAGACUCCAAAGGCUCACAUCGUAUGAUUCCAUUAUAUGAAGAACAGGCAAAAGUAACCCAUGGUGUUAGAAGUCACGGUAGCGGCCACCUUCGAGGCUGGGGUGAUGAACUAUAAGGGGCAUAGAGGGAUUCUGGAAUGUUGAUAAUGUUGUUUCUUGACCUGGGUGUCGGUUACGUGUUCAUCAAGUUGUACACUUAUGGGCAUUUUUCUGUGCUGUGCUACGAUAAAGAGUUAAAAUUGAAAGGCUCUACCAAGA